UUUUUUUUUUUGUGCUAAACAAUGACUGAUACUUAGUACCUGGAUGGAUAACCAUCAAGUAAUCCACACACUAGAAGUAAGAAAUAAAAUAAAAUCAACCUGGAAGAAGGCAACUGGAAAACACCACAGCAUAAAAAUCAUGGUCGUGAUCAUCUAGUUAUUAGGACUUGAGCCUGACUUGAGUCUUAUGUUUUUAGCAAAUGAUACUACAGUGAGAAAUCUCUUUCUCUAGUCUACACAUUAUGAUUGGUUUCAUGUUUUGUACUAAGUCACAAUUGGCUAAGUACAAUUUGCAUAACAUACUAAGCAAAAAUCAAAGUGACCACAUAAUGAAUUAGUGUGAUGUAUGAAACUAGUGAGAUGAAAACCAUCCCAGCUGCUCAGCAAAAGGCUCUCGUAUUGGGCAACAAGAAUACAGGAAAAUGCUUGAAGCAAUACUUGAGUGAGAACAGCAAAGGCAUUGUUUCAUAUUGCACAGGAGAAAGCAAUGGAAAACUACCCCUGUAUUCUAUAAAAAACCUACUUGAAUAGGUGAUAUAAACAUUGUUGCAAAUCUAAAAUGUGCUGCUUCUGAGAUUUAAUCAAACAAUCCAUUUAUGAACACUACAGUAUGUUUGAAUACUUAAAAAUAAACAUUGGAAGUAUG